rnacentral:lncRNA from 1 species
UUGUCCACAGCAAGUUCCAAGAAAAUAAUAAACCUAAUAAGAAUCUAAAUAAACGUGCUUCACUAUAAUUAGUAACCAAGAUAUUAACUUAGUUACGAGACUCAUAUAUCUCUAUCUUAGGAGCAUCUACAUAGCAUUUUCCCAUGGAUUAUUCUUCUUCCCAAUAUUAAUUUUGCCCCAAUAAGUAGUCUUUGUGAUGUUGCUUCUCUUCUUAUUGGAAAAAAAAUCCUUCAAGCAUGUCUUCUAAGAUCUGGUUCAGCUUCUCUUCACUUAUUCUUUCCCUAGCAAGCAGCAAUCUUAAGGCUUCUCUUCAUCUGUAAAAUUAAUGUUGAAUAUUAGAAUAAGAACAGUUAUGCUAUAUCCAUAAAUAAUGUCAAAUAUCAUCCCUUACCAUGCGGGCUCUCUUCAGCAGCAACAGCACCGCCAUUUAUAGUGUUGCUACUAACCUCAACAACUUCACUAUUGUAGCAACAAUAGCAACACCAGCUUCAGCAUCUUCAGCAAUCACGCCAUCUUCAUGCUCUUCAGCAACAUCGCAAU